AUGGAGAUUGUCUCUAUUGUAAAAUUUCCAAGGAAAAUGGUGUUGUCUGGCUCAUCCAGUGAUCACUCCAUUUGCAGAUUACCAGGUUCCAAUCUGAAGUAUACAUUGGAAGAGCAAAAUCUUUCUCAUUCAUAUAAACAAUUACUACCUGUGAUCCAGAAGAAUGUCCUGAUUGUUUAGUCCCACAUAAGAUGGAUUUCAAUCUAACACGUUAUUCUGAAAAAUUGAGUGAACAGUCUUCUUAAUGCAGGAAUUCUUUGUCACAAUAUCUCGACUCUGCAUGGUCAUCAAAACUUUGGACUCUUGUGAAUUAUUCAACCUAUAAAAACAUAAUUUUGUAUUAAAGUAAUAAAAGUAUAAUCAAAUA